UUGGUACCUACCUAUUUGAUAUUCACAUCGCGGUUUCCAUGCGCUGCUUUCAAACCCUUCUUCACAUCUGGCUUAGUUUGCGCAUGUCAAUGGAGUUUUACUGGAUGCGACCAGAGGGGGAGCUGUUGAUCAGGAUAUAGGGAGCCACUGUCUGGCAGGGGGACUGAUGCAGGCAGUUGAACUUCUAUCAGUUUCUAAACCAUACAGUCUUUGGUUCCAUUAUCGUAUGGAUGUGAGGUCUGCGCUCCAGCUUGCUUGUUUUUUUUUCUUUCACCGCUGUGCACACACACACACACACACACACACACACAUUGACAUUUGGCUAAAUGAUUUCAAUGGUAACGGGGCAUGCUUCGGCAAUGCAAUGAUGCAAAUGAUGGAGUGUCAUUCCAGAAGUUCUUAAAAGCUGCAAAACACUCACUAGCAGGGUAGAUGGCUAUGCUAACGAGCUAUCUAGCUGAUAGCUUUAGCGUUCAUCACGGGUUUGUUUAAUGGUGCAUUCGAGUUAAUUCUAGUGAUAUGGCACAUCGGAAACAAGGUAAGUCCAUUUCGCUUCUAACGCCAGACGUAACGUUAGCUGGUUUUACAAGUUUGUACUAGCUAGCUAUCCUGCUAGCAAGGCUGCUACUCACCUCGCGCAUCUCACUGUGUCAAACGCAAGUGGCAUCCUGCCCUGUCAAUCCCGCGUGUCUUUGCAAUACAUUCAUAGAUGUAUACAUCUAUUAUCUGCUGUUGUGAUGAUUUUUCCCCCCAUUUGUCCAUUAACUACAUUUAUAUUUGAAGCCUAUGACAUGUACUUGACAUGGACAGCAAAGUAAAAUAAAAGUUAAAAGAUGCUACACAAGAUUAUAUAUAUACUUUUUACAACAGAAGCCGCCCCUGAAGGGAGAAAUCAAUAGGCAAAUAUCUUAGCCAAUCACAACAGUGGCAGUUAAGUAAUGUUGUGAAACACUAUCAUUCCACUAUUAGCGCCAGGUAUAUUAGACAUGUUUAGACAUUACUAUGCAAAAAAAUAUGUGAAGCACCUUUAAGAAUGUUAGUUAACUUUGUUUCAGUAUUCCAGUCUAAGGUUCUUCAGAUGCUGUACCUUACCUACCAGGCCUGUGAAAGAAUCCAGCUCUCCACCCCUUGAGACCUCUGUGAAACAAAAGUAGGCGUAGAGGAGGAGGGCACUAUCACUGGAGAAAGAGAUGGCGAUAUCGAGGGCGGUGGUCGGGGCCUUGUAAGGAUCUGGCGGAGAUAGAGGGAUAACACUAUCCCCAGACAGGCAGACGAGUGCAGAUUAAAAGACGAGUGCAGAGGGAUCUGUCACGCCUUCAGCCAGCAUGCAUAAAUACUGUGAAUUUGUUGAGAACACUCAUGAGUCCAACAAAGAUGAAGAGGUAGAAGAAGACGAUGGAGGAAGAAGAAGGAGAAAUGGAAACUAUAGCUCCAGGAGGUGGGACAGUGGUGGACGGAGCGGGCCAGGUUACAGGAUCCAACCCUGGGGACCUCCAUGGAGGAAGGAGUGUGGCUCAACAAGAAGAGGAGGAAACAGCGUCAUAAACAGAAGCUCUUGUGUCUGGGUCUGGUGCCGCGUGCUGCGGCUCAAGUUCACCUACGAGAGCGAGGGGGGAGGAAGAUAUGAGGCAGAGAAGAGCAGCUGAAGUGAUAAUCUUCCUCAGGACCACACAAGAUCUAUGUUUCUGAUUGUGAUGCCACUGCAGUUGUGUCCCUGUUCCAGUAUUGGAUCACAGACAUCCCGCCCAUGCAGAGAGAAUGGAAAACAGGCCAACCUACAACAUAACCUUCCUAGUCGAGCCAACCAACAACACAACCUUAGACUUUCCUAGAUGUUCAGGGUUUUUAACAAUACUCCUGACGGAAAACAUGUCUGACUUAAUUCAUUGUGAGCCCAUGAAACGGAGUUAAGUACAUACCGUAAGCUCACUCCACAGCUAGCUUUAAAUGGAUGGAGCCAUCCAAUCGGUACCUUUUGGGUGGCUCAAACCGUUGGAAUGUUGUCAAGGAGGGAGGCCACGUGUGUUAGCAAAGCAGAGGUCCCGAGUUCGAGCCAGGUACAAGCCGAAUCGAGGAAGUGAUAACAGACUAAAUUAAUGAACCGUUUAAUGGAUUUUCCCCACAGAAAAGUGAGGCGAGCAAGUGUUUUUUCAUGUGGAUAAGGAAUAACAUUACUUUGUGGAUACUUUGUGGAUAAGGAAUAACAUUACUUUACCACAUUGUCCUAUGCACCUGUGUGGGCUCUAGAGUUAUAUUCCAUGUGAAAACCUACACUAUUUUUCUUAAAAAGAAUGCAGAUGUUACAAUGUUAUAACCAUGAGAAAUUAAACACACUAAAGUAUAACUUGUGACAGUUUCGUUAUUCCUGAUCAAAAUAAUUAUCUCUGAUAUACACAACCGUUCAAAAGUUUGGAGUCACUUAG